AAGGAAGUGGCAGAGUGGUUAUGCGACUGGCUUGAAACUAGUACAUGGGGGUUCAAUUCCCUCCUUCCUCG
rnacentral:tRNA from 1 species